AGAUGUGAGGGCGAUCUGGUUGCGACAUCUGUCAUCACUGAUCACCAGGGUUGAUUCGGCUGAUCUGGAUGGCUAGGCGGUAUCCCCUCCUCCCUCAACGCUCCACGUGCGUCUCUCCUGAAGUUGCAUCGGUCGAACAGGUCGGCCACCCCCGAUAGAGGAGGACCGUUGCUUGGUCAAGGGCCUAUGAACAGCUGCGCUCCCUGCUAGAACCUCCAAACAAGCUCUCUAAAGGAAAAGGAAAAUAGAAAUGAGGCAUCACUAUUGUCGAGAGGAAUUUGUUGGGGUUUUUCUCU
rnacentral:snRNA from 1 species